GGCUCCUCCUUGGUCCCCGCGCCAUGGCGCGUCCGCGUUGACCGCUGUCUUCCCUUUCGGGCUGUGCUGAUCGCGAACGCUGCGCAGUCCGUGGUGGCGUCGAGGCACCUUUCUCGUGCCUUUACCUGUGUUCACUCCUUUGCUUUAAAAAACAGCCCUAGAAGUACACAUCGUUGGCCCCGAAGGAGCCCCAGCAGCCAUGUCGGACCGCGAGACUGGCCGACACUUAGGGAAAAUAGAAAGAACCUACGUUGAAAUAUUGGGGAUGGGUUCCCCCGAUAGUGCUGGGAGGGCAGCACGCCUGCAGUGGACACAGAAGCUCUGAGCCCCAUACCUGUCCUGCUCACCUCUUCCAUUUGGCUGUUCCUUUGUUGUACCCUGUAUAAUAAACUGGUAAUCCCAAGAAUAGUA
rnacentral:lncRNA from 1 species